AUUGAACGCUGGCGGCAUGCCUUACACAUGCAAGUCGAACGGCAGCACGGGAGUAAUCCUGGUGGCGAGUGGCGAACGGGUGAGUAAAGCAUCGGAACGUGCCCCGUCGGGGGGGGUAACGUAGCGAAAGCUACGCUAAUACCGCAUACGAUCUGUGGAUGCAACCGGGGGACCGUAGGACCUCGCGCGAUUGGAGCGGCCGAUGUCAGAUUAGGUAGUUGGUGGGGUAAAGGCUGACCAAGCCGACGAUCUGUAGCUGGUCUGAGAGGACGACCAGCCACACUGGGACUGAGACACGGCCCAGACUCCUACGGGAGGCAGCAGUGGGGAAUGUUGGACAAUGGGCGCAAGCCUGAUCCAGCAAUGCCGCGUGCAGGAUGAAGGCCUUCGGGUUGUAAACUGCUUUUGUACGGAGCGAAAAGGCUUCCACUAAUACUGGGGGCUCAUGACGGUACCGUAAGAAUAAGCACCGGCUAACUACGUG
rnacentral:rRNA from 1 species